UUCCAUAAUCGAAUCUGGAAAUCCGCUUCUAGUUGGUAGGUUUCCAGUUCCGUAAGCGGUUUUCACGACUUUUGUAAACGCUCAACCGGUUUUGAAGCGGUAUUGGGCUUGCAUUUCUUGUUAUCUGCGAAAUGUCGGGAAAAUGUGAUAAUGGACAAAGUAGCAGGCGAUCCAUAUGCUCUGAUAGAAGAAAAACACAUGACAUUUGUUGGAUGGCAAGAGAUUCAGGAAUGCGGAUAUUUUUGCUUUGCUGGUGAAAGCCAUGGCUGAUAUAUACAUGCACCAGAUCACUAAAGAGACUUCAACGACGCCAAGUGGCGAAAUACUAUAAGCGGUAAUGAUCGUUCGGAUUUUCCGUUGUACCGUGAAAUGGCAAGUACCCUUGACGAGAGGCUGUCAGCUUGAUUGCUAGAACGCAGUGUAGAUUCUACACCAUGUGGAGAAGGUACAGCAGUUUCGUUAAUUUUAUAUUUAAUAUCAUAAAUAAAACGCUACACCGUACAUUUGUUUAUUGUACAGAAUCUGCAGACACGGACAAACUUCAACAUCAGAACCGCAAGAUGAGGUUGCAUUUACAGUUCUCCAGAUGACUCGCCGAAUAUUACGGUGUCUGCAACCAGCAAAAAGUUAUCAGAAGAAUUUGAGAAAGACAGACAGUGUGAGAAGCAGCUGUCGGAGAAUAUCCAAAGUAGGCAUGCGGAAGAGACAAAACAAUUAGUAAACUCAUUUUUAAGUGGCCUUCACACCAUU